rnacentral:lncRNA from 1 species
UCAUGGCCGUUGAUAUCCUUAGUAUUCUUUUUUAUUGUCUAUCAAAAGCAUUUAAUACCCUGCUUGGUUUAGAUUAAAAGGUUGAUAAAAAUUUUAAGUUGAUAUGAAUUUUUGCUUAAAAUAAAUAAAUAACCCAUUUCAUUAGAUUCAUAACUUCCCAACAAUUCAUUUCGUCAAUUUUUAUCAAAAUUUACAAAAUCUAAUUUCAAUUAGACGAAAGAUGGGUUAAAUUCCCACAAAUCACAGGGAACCCAACAAGACCAUCCUGGUGGCCGCGUCCACUUGACACCAAUAUACUUCUACAAUGCUAGCCUCAUUUGCACGUAAUUAUGAUAAGAGUAUAGUAGUAGAUUAUAAAUCGUGAAUCAUAUAAAAUUUGUAGAUAAAAAUAACGUUUGAUAGUUCAUAAAACUUGACAAGCGUUCCUAAACAUGCAUUAAGAUUUCGAGAUUCUAACGUAACAAUACGAUUUCAAUGUCAUUGAUUGCAAUAAUAUUUCAAUGUCAUUUACCUGUUAGAGUGAUCUAAGCGGCGUACUUGAUAACCAAAUGCCUUGGCGUAAAAUGCAACAGAUUUGGCUACAUCUCUAACAUAAACCACUGUGUAUGCAUACCUUGGAUUCAGAUUUGAUGCCAUUUUUCUUCUGGUUUUCUCAGUUAGCUUUCAAUUACAAUGGUCGGAUCUUUAUACGUUGGAUUGGAGAUUUGGAGAUAUAUAGAUUUUACGCGUGGC